rnacentral:snRNA from 1 species
GUGCUUGCUUUGACAGCACAUAUAUUAAAAUUGGAAUGAUAUAGAGACAAUUAGCAUGGCCCCUGCUCAAGGAUGACAUGCAAAUUCAUGAGGCUUUCCAUAUUAAA